ensembl:rRNA 5S_rRNA 5S ribosomal RNA
GUUUACGGCCAUACCACGUUGGGCACGCCCAAUCUCGUCUGAUCUGGGAAGUUAAGCAGGGUCGGGCCUGGUUAGUACUUGGAUGGGAGACCACCUGGGAAUACAGGUGCUGUAAGCA